UGCCCAGUAACUUCCAUCUCUACCUCCUCGUGGUGCUGGCCGGGGUACGAGUAACCUUAGAGAAGAUCGGGUAAGGGAACUUUGGUCGUAUGCUGACAGGGAAAA
rnacentral:ribozyme from 1 species